rnacentral:misc_RNA from 1 species
UUCAAGAUUUAGCAGUUGCAUAAUGCUGGUGGCAUAUGCAAGUUACCUAUUUUUUCAGCUCAAGAGUCAGCCAAAUCUAUAUAGCUCAAUCGAUGAGGAUAGAGAGAAUAAUGCUGAAAAUUCUGAUGAAGAAGAGGCUCCUGAGAUAACACAAUGGGAAGCUAUAGGGUGGCUUGCUAUUUUGACAGUAUGGAUAUCUGUACUAUCUGGGUAUCUUGUUGAUGCCAUAGAGGGAGCAUCCGACUCAAUGAACAUGCCUGUGUCCUUUAUUAGUGUCAUCUUGCUUCCAAUUGUAGGAAAUGCUGCAGAACAUGCAAGUGCAAUCAUGUUUGCAAUGAAAGAUAAGCUUGACAUUACACUUGGAGUUGCGAUUGGGUCCUCUACUCAGAUAUCAAUGUUUGUGAUUCCAUUUUGUGUUGUUGUUGGUUGGUUCAUGGGAAAACCAAUGGACUUGAACUUCCAAUUGUUUGAGACUGCUACACUCUUUAUCACAGUGCUAGUUGUGGCAUUUAUGCUGCAGGAAGGAACAUCAAAUUAUUUUAAGGGGUUGAUGCUUAUCCUAUGCUAUCUCAUUGUUGCAGCAAGUUUCUUUGUACAUGUUGAUCCAUCCAAAGAAGGGGAAUAAGUAUGCUCAGGGUGGUGAUACUCAUGCCUCGGCAGAUGAACUCCUCAACAACUGGCAGUGAAUCAAAAGUGACGAGCCUAACAAGCUGCACUCAGCCCAAGUGUUGGCUAACUCUAGAGUGAAGGGUGGUGGUGAAGUGGUAGAUGGGUUCUUCUCAUCGGUGGAACACUCAACAUUGGUUGGUGAACCAUUGACUUCUUCUUCAACGUUUAUCCUUGUUGUAUAAUUUUCUUUAGCAAACAAACAAAUUCAAAUCCUUCCCCGCAGUAUAUUGAAGCUGAUUUUAUAGUCUUCCACUCGGAGUUAAUUUUUAGAAGGAUGGAGACCAUAAUACUAGCUUCCUUACCAUUCAAAAUGUAACUAUUGACCCCAACUUGCUUUUGGGGCUGAGGCGUAGUUAUAGUUGUUAAAUUAUUGUAUCGUAUUCCUAUAUUUCCAUAGUGGUGAUCGAUCCUCAAAUUGGGAUUGAAGUGUAAUCGUUAUAAUGUAUCAUUAAAAAGAAGAAAUUCUUACACAAUGUUGAUGUACUGGAUUAUUCGAUUUUGU